UACGUAGGUGGCGAGCGUUGUCCGGAUUUACUGGGCGUAAAGAGCGCGCAGGCGGUCGUUCAAGUCGCGUGUGAAAGCCCCCGGCUCAACUGGGGAGGGUCACGCGAUACUGAUCGACUCGAAGGCAGGAGAGGGUAGUGGAAUUCCCGGUGUAGUGGUGAAAUGCGCAGAUAUCAGGAAGAACACCAAUGGCGAAAGCAGCUUUCUGGGACGGUACUGACGCUGAGACGCGAAAGCGUGGGGAGCGAACAGG
rnacentral:rRNA from 1 species